rnacentral:rRNA from 1 species
GACGAACGCUGGCGGCGUGCUUAACACAUGCAAGUCGAACGGUGAAGCGCUUGCCUUUUUGGUGGGUGUGGAUGAGUGGCGAACGGGUGAGUAACACGUGAGUAACCUGCCCUCUUCUUCUGGAUAACCUCAUGAAAGUGGGGCUAAUACGGGGUAUUCCGGGUCUGUCGCAUGGCGGGUUUGGGAAGGAUUGCGCCUUUGGGUGUUUUCGGUGGGGGAUGGGCUCGCGGCCUAUCAGCUUGUUGGUGGGGUGAUGGCCUACCAAGGCGGUGACGGGUAGCCGGCCUGAGAGGGUGGACGGCCACACUGGGACUGAGACACGGCCCAGACUCCUGCGGGAGGCAGCAGUGGGGAAUAUUGCACAAUGGGCGCAAGCCUGAUGCAGCGACGCCGCGUGAGGGAUGGAGGCCUUCGGGUUGUGAACCUCUUUCGCCAGUGAAGCAGGCCUGCUCCUGUGUGGGUGGGUUGACGGUAGCUGGAUAAGAAGCGCCGGCUAACUACGUG